rfam:Ciona savignyi cont_35637, whole genome shotgun sequence.
GUCUCUGUGGCCCAAUUGGUUAGCGCGUUCGGCUGUUAACCGAAAGGUUGCUGGUUCAAGCCCAGCCAGGGACG